rnacentral:rRNA from 1 species
GUAGCUGGUCUGAGAGGAUGACCAGCCACACUGGAACUGAGACACGGUCCAGACUCCUACGGGAGGCAGCAGUGGGGAAUAUUGGACAAUGGGGGCAACCCUGAUCCAGCAAUGCCGCGUGUGUGAAGAAGGCCUGAGGGUUGUAAAGCACUUUCAGUGGGGAGGAGGGAUGAUUGUUUAAGAGAUGAUUAUUUGGACGUUACCCACAGAAGAAGCACCGGCUAACUCCGUGCCAGCAGCCGCGGUAAUACGGAGGGUGCAAGCGUUAAUCGGAAUUACUGGGCGUAAAGAGUGCGUAGGUGGUUAGAUAAGUUAUCUGUGAAAUCCCUGGGCUUAACCUGGGCAGGUCAGAUAAUACUGCUUGACUCGAGUAUGG